GGCGAACGGGUGCGUAACACGUGGAUUACAUUCCGGGAAGCGGGGGAUAGCCCAGGGAAACUUGGAUUAAUACCGCAUGUGGUCGAAAGACUAAAGGUGGGGACCGCAAGGCCUGCCACUUCCCGAUUGGUCCGCGGCCUAUCAGCUUGUUGGUGAGGUAAUGGCUCACCAAGGCUACGACGGGUAGCUGGUCUUAGAGGACGACCAGCCACACUGGAACUGAGACACGGUCCAGACACCUACGGGUGGCAGCAGUCGAGAAUCUUUCACAAUGGGGGCAACCCUGAUGGAGCGACGCCGCGUGGAGGAUAAGGUCUUCGGAUUGUAAACUCCUGUCAUGCGAGAACAAGGUACCCGGGUUAAUAACCCGGUUGUUUGACGGUACCGCAAGAGGAAGAGACGGCUAACUCUGUGCCAGCAGCCGCGGUAAUACAGAGGUCUCAAGCGUUGUUCGGAAUCACUGGGCGUAAAGGGUGCGUAGGCUGCGCCGUAAGUCAGAUGUGAAAGCUCAGGGCUCAACCCUGAAAUUGCAUCCGAUACUGCGGUGCUUGAGAAAUGAAGGGGAGUCUAGAAUUUUCGGUGUAGCAGUGAAAUGCGUAGAUAUCGAAAGGAAUACCAAAGGCGAAGGCAGGACUCU
rnacentral:rRNA from 1 species